rnacentral:lncRNA from 1 species
GGUUCAUUCAUUAGUUAUUUAGGUUUAAAUCUAUUGUAGAAAUUACUAAGGUUUGGUUAGGAUCUGAUUUAGGAUUAGGAUUUGGUUAGGGUUUGAUUUAGAGUUAGGAUUUAGUUAGGAUUUGAUUUAGAGUUUAGGAUUAGAAUUAAGAUUUGGUUAGGAUUUGAUUUAGGGUUAGGAUUUGGUUAGGAUUUAAUUUAGGAUUGGUUAGGAUUUGAUUAAGUUUUUAUUAGGAUUUGAUUAUAGAUUAGGAUUUGAUUUAGGAUUUAGGAUUUGGUUAGGUUUUGAUUUAGGAUUAGUAUUUGGUUUAGGAUUUAGGAUUUUGUUUAGGAUUUAAGGUUUGAUUAGGAUUUGAUAGGAUUUGAUUUAAGAUUUAGGAUUUUAUUUGAAUUUAUUUAGAAAUUAAGAUUUAGUUAGUUUUUGGCCUAAAGUUGAAUGAAGUCCAAUAAGAUUUCAACUAGGAUUAAAUUAAGAUUGAAUUGAAAUGUAUUUGAGAUAUGUUUGUAAUCAUUCUAAUAUUUUUUUAAGAUUUCUUAUUGUUUCUUUGGAAUGCCUUUGAGGUU